CCUCCUGAGCCUGUGUCUUCUAUGGGAGGACAGGAAAUCUCCUCCCUUCCCUACCGGGCUGAGGAGCUGAGCGAGCAAAGAAACUUAGGAGAGAGGAAUCUGAAAGGCCCACACCUGCUUCCUCUACCCAAGCAGCGAGCACCCUGUGACCAGGCUCCAUAAAGCCCAUGCCAUCUGAACAGCAUGGCUAUUCUUGCUUAGUCCAGACAUUGACAGAUGAUUGUCUACUCACCCAGUCUUUGCUAACGCAGGAAAUGAAGACAUUCAGCUGAAGGGGAGAAAGAGGUGGAAGGCCUUUCCCUUCUGGCUCCAGUAACAAGAGCAGAGAAAGACUCAGAACCCCAGCUGGCAAGAGAGGAAGAUAAAUAAGAAAAAACAAAACACGUCCUUGCACUACAAUGGAAUGUUUUAAAGAGAGGUGGAAAAUGCAAGGUCAGGGGCAGAUCUCAUUUUCUGGCAUCUCGGGAGAAAUAUUACAAGGUCUGGCCUGAGAAGAUGCCAUCCGUGCAUCAGGAAGACAGGCCACAGAGCAGAGACACCUGGAGGCUUCAGGACAAGGCCCCAGUCCUUGAGCCCAUUUCCAGCAGACACAGCAAUGGGGGCCACAUCCAAAGGGCCUCUGACUGCAUCUUUCAUGGUCAUGAUCCAGUGACGAGAGUGAACAGCUCAGAGGGGGUGGGGGGCUCAGAGGGGGGCAACUGAUGAUGACCAAGCUUUCCCAAAGCUCUCCCUGUGUAUCCUGUGCCAUUUAAAGCAUUCUAUAGAUCAUAUUUCAUUUUAUUCUUUCAACUAUGCGGUGAAGUAAUAGCAUAAGUAGCCUCAUUUCAGAAAUGGGGAAACUGAGGUAGGAAGCUUUAAAAGCCACAGAGCCAAGAGCAUAGCCAGUAAGUUGAAGAGCCAAGAGUUGAACGAAAGUUCACACAUGAGUAAUCCUGCCCAUCUCAGUCUUGUAUCUCUGGUUCUGGGACCUUGUUAGGAUAUGUGGCACAUGGGAACUCUGUGUUUUUCCUCCACAGUGCCCCACUCCCUUAAGAAGUCUUCGUUGUACUCCCCUGUGUGCUCAUGAGCCUCCAGCUUAUGUUGCGUGGAAGAUAUGUGUGCCACUGAUUUAUAACCAUCAGAGAAAACAGAAUUGCAAAUCUCACCCACAAAUCUUCCUUAUCGAGAUGCUUACAACAAGCAGACACAUCGUGAAUUCCCAAGAACAGGCAGGCCCCCCCCUCUAGCCUUGGUUCCCUCCAGCUCCCUGCUCCCUGGGCCUGUAGGGAGUCAUAGGUUGGCUCUGUGAUGUCCCUCUGGCUGCCAGAAAAAGGCUAGUUCACACACACAGGAAGUGGUAGUACAUCAGCAAUGCUGGCUCCCAGUGGUGUAGUCUGGAAGAGCUCCAAGGGUCCCUCCUGCCCUGCUCCAGCCCUCACUGUUCAGAUGGUGAAUAGGGUCUUAAGUACCAAAGCCAGAGGAGCAAAGACCCCCUGAACAAGCAUUACAGUCAGCUAGCAGCAAGGAGCCAGUAGAGGCUCUAUCAACUCUUUUAACAUUACCCACAUGACACAUGGUUGAGGCUCAGAACCAUUCUACCAUGUUCCUUGAGUCCAGGGUUCUUCAAGUCCAAAGCCCCUACUACUGGCAUACAUAUUUCACCUUACUCCUUUAGAGGGGCUGGGUCAUCUCACAGGUGUAUAGCCCUCCCCUACUUUGUACAUGCUAGACCAGCGGGAGAUGUUUCUGAUCGCACUGAGUGGAGUUCACAUUGUCUCCUCCAGGCUCGCCCUCCAUCCCUGAGACCAGAGAAUGGAAGGAGAAGCACAAUCCAGGUGAUGUAACCAAUCAGCUACAGGCUUCCCUAGCAUCUUGGGGCAUGAGGCUACCUAUUGGGCACCAGUGGCCCAAUCUUGGCUCUACUCUGACCUACUGCACACCAGGCCAGUCUGAUCAGUCUGAUGAACUUCCUAAAUUUUGCCUUUGUGUGUGUGUUAUAUGUAUACAGAUUUGUAGAUGUGUAUUUGAACAGAUGUGUA